CAUUCACUGCGAUGCCCGCCAUUCGAAUUACAAUUUAAAAAUGACCGAAAUCAAGAAUGCUUCUAAUGAUAAUCUGGGCCUUGUGGAGGACGUCUGCCAUAUGGCACGGAACUGGAUAAACUCGCGAAUAGACGCAACAACAAUGACAAUUUAAAACAGCAGCCUGAAAAUGCAGGGUCUCAAUCCGCGCUGGACGAUGCGGAUCAUUUGAUUACUGUGGAUUAUCGCAAGGAUUAUCGCUUUUCCCUUUGCCCCUAAUAGCCAUUGUUCCCAGCAUUUGUGAAUGAGGUGUAUGUAUAUAGAGUCUCAAUAAGGUAUAAAUAUAUAUAUAAAA
rnacentral:sRNA from 1 species